AAUCGCGUGUCGGGAGAAGGGCUCGGGCCCUACCGAAGGAGCAACCGCCCCGGAAAACUCUCAGGUAAACGGACCUUCACGCGGUC
rnacentral:ncRNA from 1 species